CGCUCAAGUCAUGAUGAUUGGAGAUUUAAGUCAACAAAUUAUUGGGGUAAAAGUACAGCAAUGAGACUAACAGGACAAGCCACAACUGCGCUAGGCAAUUGUAUUACGAACAUGCAAGUACACUCAAAAUUUGUGAUCAAAAACAAAUAUUGGUUAAAAUUUGCCUUGUUUCUUGGAGAUGAUAUGUGCAUGGGGUUCUCACAUAAACCAAAUACCCAACACUUACGUCAGGAUAUUGCUUGUAAAUUUAAUAUGCAAAGUAAAGAUUCCUGGAUGACUAAUGGAGCAACAUUUUGUAGUAUGGUGGUUUACAAAACAAAUGACAACGUUGUGGAAAUAGGUCCAGAUGUGGUCAGAAUGAAGUUUAGGUAUGAAGUUACCAAUGGUGUACACGAAGCAACUAAAGAGAACUUAUUAAUGCGUAAGGCUUCUU
rnacentral:misc_RNA from 1 species